GGUGUACUUCAUGUUAAAUUCUCACAAAAUAUAGAAUGUAGGAAGCGGUAGAAUAAAAACUCUAACGUUCUUCUAACAUGCCUAAAAUGAAGAAAUCUGAGCAAAAAUGAAAACAGACUUCUCAAGCUUGCUGGUUUUACUGACUGGACAUCAAAUGAUAAUCUUUAUAAGCCAUAGGCAGACACUUCCUGUAGGCAGACACUCCCUCUAGAAAGAUACUUCUUGUUGAUAUUGUCACUCGCUAAGACCCAUGGACAUUUUUACUGUGAUUAUAAAACCUUUAUUGAGGGCCUACUAUGUGAUGUAUGAAAUUCAAAUUCCAAGUUCAUGAAAGCUCAUAGUUUUUAGUCUUUGAAAAUCUGUAGGCAAAAUAGGGCUUGGUGGCUCACACACCUAAUCCCAGUGUUUGGAAGGUGGAUGCAAGAGGAUUGUUAGAAUUUGAAGCCAACCUGGGCUACACUGUGACACUCUAUCUCAAAACAGAAAAACCAGGGCUGUAGAGAUGGCUCAGCAGUUAAGAGCACUGACUGCUCUUCCAGAGGUCCUGAGUUCAAUUCCCAGCAACCACAUGAUGACUCACAACCAUCUGUAAUGGGAUCUGAUGCCCUCUUGUGGUGUGUCUGAAGACAGCAACAGUGUACUCAUAUAAAUAAAAUAAACGAAUAUUAAAUAAAAAACAAACAAACAGAUAAACCAACCUAGAAUAUCUCCAGGAUGGAAAUUCUAGCUUUGGAAAGUCUCUCCAUGGAAGAUCAGUAGGCUUUCAACUGUGAUGGUUUCCCCACUUCUGUGUCAGAUCCUUGGAGGUGACUCAUUUUGUUUAUUGUUAUGGAAAAUAAAAGCAAAGGAGGCUACUGAAGGAACCAACUUUUUUUUUUCUAAUCAAAGGAUACAAUAGAAACAGAAACAGCAGCUAAGGUGACACAAAGGCUCAAAGAAGAAUGCCAAUGAAAAGAUUUGGUAUAGGGAUUCAGAGAAGGAGCAAAAUAAAACAAAUUGGAAAGAGCAAAAAGAACACAGGUUUGGCUCUUGGGAGCUGUCCAUCUAUUUGUACAACAGUCAGAAUUCAGAGCAGACCUGUCGUGGCACUGGUAGUGGUUCAGAUAGGACAGUGCACUCACAAGGGCAUGCCCCUGGGGCUUAGUGACCCACCAGCCACUAAGGAAGGAUCCUGAGGAAUGUUAACAGGCUGGAAGUUUUGAACAAAAAUAACUGAAAAUGUUUGUAGGAAUGGCAUCUGCAAUCCAGAGGAAGUAGUUGAAAAAAAAGGUGGGGUGGACCAGGAUGACUGACUUGGUCUCCAGAGCCAGUGUGAGGUGACACUUGUAUUUAUGCCUGACAAAAGGCAGUCUUGGGUGCUGCAGGCCUUCCAUGCUGGGAUGUGCCUUGGUGCACCUUUGACUUUCUCAAAUGGCCCCAGGCUGACUAGAUCCAGAUGUGGCAUUAACCCCUAAGCAGCCACUGAGAAUUAGCAGCUGGUUAGCUAUAAAAAUUCCCCGAGAAGGCUUUGCAAUGAAAGGGGCUGUGUGACUGUGUGCUAAGUUCUGCUUAGACAAUAAAUAGACCAGCCACAUGAUCCAUCUUCCACCACAUAGUGAGAGAAAAGAGAAAAUCUCUUGUAACAUCCUAAGAGGACAUUGAAGACUCACUAACCAAUACCUCAAAUGGAGAAGUUGAUUAUCAGGGGUGGGCCCACCUGCCCCUUAAGGAAUAGUUGAGUUUGGAGGGUAUAUGCCACAACUUCAACCAACAAAAAGCACCUCCCUACAAAGAUAUGUGUGUCUGCAUAUUUCUAUUGCCACAUCACUGUCAUUUAUUGCAAUGGGGUUUUGUUUUGAAACCAUAUAGAUUUGUCUUACUGAGGAAAUGAAACACAUGAGUAAAAUAUGCUAAAUCAAGAAACUAUGGCAUAAGUUCUAUUUUAAAGACAGUCACAAAAUGCUUAAUUUUUUGUUAUUCAUAAUUUAAUGUUUGACUGAAAAUAGAUAUUUUUUUAAUAUGCCACAUUUGGAUCAUGGCUUCUUCUCUGCAGCUCCUCCCUGAUCUUUAUCUUCCCUGGAACCCAAACCAACGCCCUUUCUCUCUCUCUCACUAGAAAACAAAUAGACAACGAAAAAACAAACCACAAUAGGACAAAACAAAGUGGGGGGAAAAAAAAAGACCGAAAGUAAAAGCACAAGGCAUCAUUUUAAGAACCAUUCCAAACAUAGAGAAGAAUAUCCAGGAGCGAACAUCAAAUGCCAGUGUGCACUAAGCUACUCCUCUCUGUGUGACAAAAUAAAUCACUGUCCUGAGAGAUCUAUCUAACAAACAUGCCUCUAACUUGUAAGCCCCACUUGCCCAAGGACAGAUACCUUCCCGAAAUGUUGGGGGCUGCUGUUCACGUAAGAUAACAACCCACAUGUUGUUCUUCUAUAAACAAGGUUGGUAGCACGGGAUGUGCUCCAGUACAUCAGGAUGUGUGCUUGGCCCCAGCUGGAUGAAGGCAGGAAGUACGUUCCUUAUGGGGUUUGCCUUUAUACGUAGCUGACUGAAGUAAUUUGGUGCCAUUCACUGGAAAUCCCGGGCCUGCACCUGGACAGUGUCCAUCAUCCUGGCUAGUAUUUAAUAAAGCUUGCCUCAAAUCUG
rnacentral:lncRNA from 1 species